GAUGAACGCUGGCGGCGUGCCUAAUACAUGCAAGUCGAGCGAACGGACGAGAAGCUUGCUUUUCUGAUGUUAGCGGCGGACGGGUGAGUAACACGUGGAUAACCUACCUAUAAGACUGGGAUAACUUCGGGAAACCGGAGCUAAUACCGGAUAAUAUUUUGAACCGCAUGGUUCAAAAGUGAAAGACGGUCUUGCUGUCACUUAUAGAUGGAUCCGCGCUGCAUUAGCUAGUUGGUAAGGUAACGGCUAACCAAGGCAACGAUGCAUAGCCGACCUGAGAGGGGAACCGGCCAACCGGAAAUUGAACACCGGCCCAACCCCCACGGGAGGCAAGGAGUGGGAAUUUUGCCCAAAGGGGGGAACGCCGGACGAGGCAACCCCGGUGGGGGGAUAAGGGCUUUGGGAUGGAAAAACUUUUUUUUGGGGGAAAAAAAUAGGUGGAAAAAACUUUGCAAAUCUGACGGGACCCAAAUAAAAAGCCCCGGCUAACUUCGUG
rnacentral:rRNA from 1 species